AUUGAACGCUGGCGGAAUGCUUUACACAUGCAAGUCGAACGGCAGCACGGGUGCUUGCACCUGGUGGCGAGUGGCGAACGGGUGAGUAAUACAUCGGAACGUACCCAGUUGUGGGGGAUAACUAACCGAAAGGUUAGCUAAUACCGCAUACGACCUGAGGGUGAAAGCGGGGGACCGGAAGGACUCGCGCAAUUGGAGCGGCCGAUGUCUGAUUAGCUAGUUGGUAGGGUAAAGGCCUACCAAGGCGACGAUCAGUAGCUGGUCUGAGAGGAUGAUCAGCCACACUGGAACUGAGACACGGUCCAGACUCCUACGGGAGGCAGCAGUGGGGAAUUUUGGACAAUGGGCGAAAGCCUGAUCCAGCCAUUCCGCGUGAGUGAAGAAGGCCUUCGGGUUGUAAAGCUCUUUCGGCAGGGAAGAAACGGCCUAGGUUAAUACCUUGGGCUAAUGACGGUACCUGAAGAAGAAGCACCGGCUAACUACGUGCCAGCAGCCGCCGUAA
rnacentral:rRNA from 1 species